AUACGUAGGGGGCGAGCGUUGUCCGGAAUGACUGGGCGUAAAGGGCGCGUAGGCGGCUUUGCAAGUCAGUAGUGGAAGUCCAUUUGUCAAGGAUGGAAGUGCUACAGAAACUGCGGAGCUUGAGUGCAGGAGAGGUUAGCGGAAUUCCCGGUGUAGCGGUGAAAUGCGUAGAGAUCGGUAGGAACACCAGUGGCGAAAGCAGGUUGCUGGGGAUGUGCUGACGCUGAGACACGAAAGCCAGGGGAGCGAACGGGAUUAGAUACCCCGGUAGUCCUGGCCGUAAACGAUGUCCACUAGAUCGCAGUCGUUCUGACGUGAUUGCGGUCGAAGCCAAAGUGCUAAGUGGACCGCCUGGGAAGUACGGUCGCAAGGCUAAAACUCAAAGGAAUUGACGG
rnacentral:rRNA from 1 species